rnacentral:rRNA from 1 species
CCUACGGGUGGCAGCAGUGAGGAAUAUUGGUCAAUGGACGAGAGCCUGAACCAGCCAAGUAGCGUGAAGGAUGACUGCCCUAUGGGUUGUAAACUUCUUUUAUAUGGGAAUAAAACGUUCCACGUGUGGGAUUUUGUAUGUACCCUAUGAAUAAGGAUCGGCUAACUCCGUGCCAGCAGCCGCGGUAAUACGGAGGAUCCGAGCGUUAUCCGGAUUUAUUGGGUUUAAAGGGUGCGUAGGUGGAUUGUUAAGUCAGUUGUGAAAGUUUGCGGCUCAACCGUAAAAUUGCAGUUGAAACUGGUAGUCUUGAGUGCAGGAGAGGUGGGCGGAAUUCGUGGUGUAGCGGUGAAAUGCUUAGAUAUCACGAAGAACUCCGAUUGCGAAGGCAGUUCACUGGACUGCAACUGACGCUGAGGCUCGAAAGUGUGGGUAUCAAACAGGAUUAGAUACCCCAGUAGUC